rnacentral:rRNA from 1 species
GAUUAACGCUGGCGGCGUGCCUAACACAUGCAAGUCGAGCGGCAGCGAGUUUUACACUGAAUUCUGGAAGCUUCUAGUUGAAAGAGAAGAUUUAUUCAAGAAUUUUGUGUAAAAUGUCGGCGAGCGGCGGACGGCUGAGUAACGCGUGGGAACGUACCCCAAAGUGAGGGAUAACGCAUCGAAAGGUGUGCUAAUACCGCAUAUGGUCUUCGGAUUAAAGCCUUCGGGCGCUUUGGGAACGGCCUGCGUAAGAUUAGAUAGUUGGUGGGGUAAUGGCCUACCAAGUCGACGAUCGUUAACUGGGUUGAGAGGAUGAUCAGUCAGACUGGAACUGAGACACGGUCCAGACUCCUACGGGAAGCAGCAGUGAGGAAUCUUCCACAAUGGGCGAAAGCCUGAUGGAGCAACGCCGCGUGCAGGAUGAAGGCCUUCGGGUUGUAAACUGCUUUUAUAAGUGAGGAUUAUGACAGUAACUUAUGAAUAAGGAUCGGCUAACUACGUG